rnacentral:lncRNA from 1 species
CCCUAUCAAUAUGCAUGUAAGAAAAAUUAUAUGUUCCUCUUUUCAACGUUCCCCCUAUCAGGUAUAAUCAUCUACCUACCUUCCCCCUUUUGUCAUAAGUAAAAAAUAUAAAUUCGAAUACAAGUCAACCAUAGUAAUGAGUUUGCUUUGAAGAUAAUAUCCAAAACAUGAAGCAACGUCAUAAAAUUAAGCAUGAACGAUAGUCAUAAAACUAGAUGUAAAACAUAAUAACAAGAUAAUGCUAAGGUUCCGGAGGUGGUGGCAGAGGAAAGUGAGCAUAGAAGUCAUUCUGUCGAACUUACAUCACCGCUUGUUGCAUGAGUUUGCAUCUUGUUGUGCUUGGAUUUGGGCUUGUUGAACUUGAAUUUGAUAAAGUAACCCGCCAAGCCCAUCAAUGGUACAUGUAAGAGAGUUAAUCCAACUAUUUAGGAGAUUAUAGUGAUCCUUGAUAAAUGUUAAACGGCCACCCAAGUUACGAGGAUUCGGAGCUUGUGGAACAUCUUUUUCUUCUUCUUCAAAAGGUAGAGUUGAGGGUACCGAAAUGGGGUCGAACCCUUUUGUUUGAGCCACCCAUGGACCAUGUGAUUUAAUGAUUUUCAUACGUUUUAGUGUUUGUUUGUUAAUAGCGUCAAUAGGACAGAGUUUUACAAAAGCUUUAUCAUGUAGAGGAACAUUAGGUAAGAAGCAUGUUGUAAAGUAAGGCUUUAACAUAAUGAAAAGAAUGUACAAGCUUCAUAACACCUAAAGCAAUGUUUGGGAAAACUAACUUCCGACAAACAAGGUAUGAAUCGAGGAUAAAAAGGUCAAAACAGUUUACCUCAUCCAGAUGCCCCUUCCUAAGGAGAAUGGCAUGUGCAAUGAUGUUCUGCAAGACUUUACACUGUAGGAUUAAUUAAUUUGCUAUAGUUAUGGUAUCAUUUUCAAAAUCUUUUCCCGUCACAUGAUGACAAGCAUCUCUCAAGAAAUAUCCUUCGAACGUCAGAUGAGCUUUGCGAAGAAAAAUUUGGGUAUCAUACACCUCAAGCUCAAGAAUAUGACGGAUUAGAGUUUUAUUAAUGGUGAUACGCACAUUGUUGAUUAAACAAGAAAUCUCAUCCGACCGUGGAGUGAUAACCAUCUUUUUAUAAAAAUCUUUCAUAAGACAGGGGUAGGCAUAUUCCUCUAAUGUGCAAUUUGAAACCCAACCCAUACUUUCAAAAAAAAAAAAAAAUCAUCUUCAAUGUGCAAAUGCAGGUACUUCAAUAGUAAAAUCAACAAAGUCAAAAUUAUACCUAUUAGAACGAGUGAUUUCUCAAACUAGUUCGUCGACACCUGGGGCUCGAAUUCCAUUUCUUCAAUGGAAGAUGGCAGUGGAGAACAUCUUACUGUGGAAUUGACCCGUUUUCCAACCCUCUUUGAUCCUAUAAUGGUGACAAUUUGAAGAAAUAGGGGCAGAUAGAAGUUAGGGUUCGAAUUGGGAAAUAACGAAAUUUUGAGAGAAAGUUUGAUUUUUUUGAGAAAUUGGAGAAGGUGAAGUUCUCAACUUGUGAAAUGGACAAGAAAAUGUUGAAAGAUGAAGGUGAGAGUACGGAUUGAAGAAGAGAACUUGGAAGAAAUGAAAGAGAAGAUGAAAAAAGAAGCCUUGUUCGCAUUUUUUAAAAACUGCAUUCGCAGUACACCAAAUAUUCGGCACAUUUUACCAGAAAGAUAGUGUCCAAUUUCACUGUCAAACCAGACAAGGGAUUCAAACUAUUCGCUAGAUUAGUUUGGUUCCCUUUAGUUCU